GAUAAACGCUGGCGGCGUGCAUGAGACAUGCAAGUCGAACGGACGAUCGGGGCUUGCUCCGAUAGUUAGUGGCGGACGGCUGAGUAACGCGUAGGUGACCUGCCCCGAAGUGGGGAAUAACUGCCCGAAAGGGUGGCUAAUACCGCAUGUGGUGGUGCGUUCAUUCGUACCAGUAAAGCCGCAAGGCGCUUCGGGAGGGGCCUGCGUCCGAUUAGCUCGUUGGUGGGGUAACGGCUCACCAAGGCGACGAUCGGUAGGUGGUCUGAGAGGACGAUCACCCAGACUGGGACUGAGACACGGCCCAGACUCCUACGGGAGGCAGCAGUCGGGAAUUUUGCGCAAUGGACGAAAGUCUGACGCAGCGACGCCGCGUGAGGGAUGACGGCCUCGG
rnacentral:rRNA from 1 species